rnacentral:lncRNA from 1 species
GUCAUUUUGAGGAAGGAUCAGCCUUGUUCGGGUUGGCCCCUGAGUGCAGAACCAGCAGUAAGAGGUGGAAAAAGCAGAAAACCUUUCCAACCAAGGAAGCUGUCCUGAAGUAGUAUGGGCAGCUGUAAGAGAGAGUGGGCUUCCUUCCUUCUUGGAGAUCAGUAGGUAGACGCUGGGCAACCAUUCCAUGAUAGGUCCUUUUGACCAUAAAUUGAACCACAGGAUCUCUGAGGUGCUUCCCAGCUCUCAAACUGAAUAAUUCAAUGAUCUGUGCAGAUCCCUGCCUUUAUAUUUUUUUAAGCCCAAAUCAGUGACUUUAUUAUUAUAGGGACUCCCUCUGGGAGAAGUACUCUAUACAGAUUGGUUUAGCAGCUUUGUCUCAGACACUUUCCUUGGGGGCACAGAUGAAGUGAUUUGACUAGGGUCUCAUAGCCAGUGUGUCAGAAAUGGGAGCUGUCUAUCAGCUAUCCCAUGCUGCUUCUUUGCUUUGGCCAAUUGAUCUUUGUCUCUACUUCUUUAAGACUUUCUGUUCCUAGCCCUGAGAUUCAUCCUGUAGUUACUGAGUUCUGAAGAUUGUUAGGGCGUUAUCAUGCUGAUACUCUGGCUUCUGAAACAAGGCUUCCAUGGACUUCGUUCCUAGUCCCCUGCCUCAGAUCCAUGGUUGGGGGCUUCCAGGUGCCUUCUCUGACCUGUGUCCCACCCUGAUCCCACACAUUUCAUUUCUUGGACACCGGCUUAGAAAUAGAUUGUUUAUUCAUAAACAGAUUUUGGAGGUCAAAAGAUGUCAAACUCAACUGCUGAGUAAAAUUGAAACUGCUGGAGGAAGGGUGACCAGCACAAAGCCCAGCACUUGUGAUGAAGUAGAGGAUAAGAGGGGAAGGAUGGAAGAAGAAUCAUGGGAGCUCAGAGAAGGACAAGGACCUGAUCCAGAUCUUGGCAGACUGGGGUCCAAGCUCUGGGGCCCUGACCAGGUUACAGGGAACCAUGGUUAAGAAUGUCCGGUCUGGGGUAAGAAUGGGAGAGAAGUAAAGUGAAAGGGAGGAGAAAUGAGGGACAAACAGGGAAGAUCAAAUAACAGAGAGAAGACUGAAAAAUAGAGACGGGAAACCAAGGAAGAGAGAGUCAGGGAAGACUGAAGAGAUUAAGGGUGAAAGGGGUGGGGGAGGCUGAGAAGAAAAGAACAAAAAUGGGGGACAAUAAGGAAGAGAGUUGGGGAAACAGAGGGAAUGGGGAGGCUGAGGGAGAUAAGAGAUGGAAGGAUGGAGGCAGAGAGAUUGAAGGACAAAGAGUAAAGUGAGGAUGAUAAUAACAUUAAGCUCCUGGGUUUUUUGUGGAUCAGAUGAGAUCUGUAAAAUUCUCAGAACAAGUGGCACCUGGACACUUAGUAAAUGUUUGUUUUCUUCCAUAUUUCUCCAUAUUUUUCCUAAGUGCUCCAAAGCUGCCCCUUUCUUGAAGACCUCCAGUGAGGAGGUGGAGGAAGCCAUUUCCCUUUGUGGACAGCUCUAGUCCUGAGGAACUUUUCAUGACAUCCAGUCUAAAUUGGCUUCUUUGUAGUAACUAUAGGCUGCUCUAUGUUCUGCCCCCUGGGCCUAAAUAAAAAAUAAUUUCUUUUUCU